GCAGUGGCAGUUUAUGGUAGAAUCCUCACCUUCCAUGUGGGAGACCCGGGUUCGACUCCUAGCCAGUGCA
rnacentral:tRNA from 1 species